ACGUACGCUGGCGGCACGCCUAACACAUGCAAGUCGAACGAAGUAGCAAUACUUAGUGGCAGACGGGUGAGUAACAUGUAGGUAUCUGCCCUUUGGCCUGGAAUAACACGAGGAAACUUGUGCUAAUACCGGAUAAGUCUUUACGGAGAAAGCUUUAUGCACCAUUGGAUGAGCCUGCACUUGAUUAGUUUGUUGGUGGGGUAAUGGCCUACCAAGACUGUGAUCAAUAGCUGAUUUGAGAGGAUGAUCAGCCACAUUGGGACUGAGACACGGCCCAAACUCCUACGGGAGGCAGCAGUGGGGAAUCUUGCACAAUGGAGGAAACUCUGAUGCAGCGAUGCCGCGUGAGUGAAGAAGGCCCUUGGGUUGUAAAGCUCUUUCGUCGGGGAAGAAAAUGACUGUACCCGAAUAAGAAGGUCCGGCUAACUUCGUGCCAGCAGCCGCGGUAAUACGAAGGGACCUAGCGUAGUUCGGAAUUACUGGGCUUAAAGAGUUCGUAGGUGGUUGAAAAAGUUAGUGGUGAAAUCCCAGAGCUUAACUCUGGAACUGCCAUUAAAACUUUUCAGCUAGAGUAUGAUAGAGGAAAGCAGAAUUUCUAGUGUAGAGGUGAAAUUCGUAGAUAUUAGAAAGAAUACCAAUCGCGAAGGCAGCUCUCUGGAUCAUUACUGACACUGA
rnacentral:rRNA from 1 species